AGCGAACGCUGGCGGCAGGCCUAACACAUGCAAGUCGAACGGAUCCUUCGGGAUUAGUGGCGGACGGGUGAGUAACACGUGGGAACGUGCCCUUUGGUUCGGAACAACUCAGGGAAACUUGAGCUAAUACCGGAUGUGCCCUUCGGGGGAAAGAUUUAUCGCCAUUGGAGCGGCCCGCGUCUGAUUAGCUAGUUGGUGAGGUAAAGGCUCACCAAGGCUACGAUCAGUAGCUGGUCUGAGAGGAUGAUCAGCCACAUUGGGACUGGGACACGGCCCAAACUCCUACGGGAGGCAGCAGUGGGGAAUCUUGCGCAAUGGGCGAAAGCCUGACGCAGCCAUGCCGCGUGAAUGAUGAAGGUCUUAGGAUUGUAAAAUUCUUUCACCGGGGACGAUAAUGACGGUACCCGGAGAAGAAGCCCCGGCUAACUUCGUGCCAGCCGCCGCGGUAAUAC
rnacentral:rRNA from 1 species